UACGUAGGGGGCAAGCGUUGUCCGGAUUUAUUGGGCGUAAAGAGCUCGUAGGCGGUUUGGUAAGUCUGGUGUGAAAUCUCCACGCUCAACGUGGAGGGGCCACCCGAUACUGCCAUGACUGGAGUCCGGUAGAGGAGUGUGGAAUUCCCGGUGUAGCGGUGAAAUGCGCAGAUAUCAGGAGGAACACCAUGGCGAAGGCAGCUCGCUGGGACGGUACUGACGCUGAGGCGCGAAAGCGUGGGGAGCAAACAGG
rnacentral:rRNA from 1 species